rnacentral:rRNA from 1 species
UUUGAUCCUGACGGACCUGACUGCUAUCGGAUUGAUAUUAAGCCAUGUUAGUCUUUGUAGUAAUACAAGGCAGACAGCUCAGUAACGCGUAGUCAACCUAACCUAUGGAUGGGAAUAACCUCGGGAAACUGAGGAUAAUACCCAAUAGGUCAUUAUGCCUGGAAUGGUUUAUGACUUAAAUGAAAUGUCGCCGUAGGAUGGGACUGCGAGCUAUCAGCUUGUUGGUGAGGUAAUGGCCCACCAAGGCUAUUACAGCUACGGGCUCUGAGAGGAGUAGCCCGGAGAUGGGUACUGAGACAAGGACCCAGGCCCUAUGGGGCGCAGCAGGCGAGAAAACUUUGCAAUGUGCGAAAGCCCGACAAGGUUAAUCUGAGUGGUUCCUGAUAAAGGAACCUUUUGUUAGUCGUAGAACCACUGAUGAAUAAGGGGUGGGCAAGUUCUGGUGUCAGCCGCCGCGGUAAAACCAGCACCUCAAGUGGUCAGGAUGAUUAUUGGGCCUAAAGCAUCCGUAGCCUGUUCUGUAAGUUUUCGGUUAAAUCUAUGCGCUCAACGUAUAGGCUGCCGAAAAUACUGCAGAACUAGGGAGUGGGAGAGGUAGACGGUACUCGGUAGGAAGGGGUAAAAUCCUUUGAUCUAUUGAUGACCACCUGUGGCGAAGGCGGUCUACCAGAACACGUUCGACGGUGAGGGAUGAAAGCUGGGGGAGCAAACCGGAUUAGAUACCCGGGUAGUCCCAGCUGUAAACCAUGCAAACUCAGUGAUGCAUUGGCUUAUUGCCAAUGCAGUGUCGCAGGGAAGCCGUUAAGUCUGCCGCCUGGGAAGUACGUACGCAAGUAUGAAACUUAAAGGAAUUGGCGGGGGAGCACCGCAACCUGAGGAUUGUGCGGUUUAAUUGGAUUCAACGCCGGAAAACUCACCAGUGCCGACGGACAAAUGAAAGCCAGUUUGAUGAGCUUGCUGGAUUGUUCGAGAGGUAGUGCAUGGCCGUCGUCAGUUCGUACCGUAAGGCGUUCUGUUAAGUCAGAUAACGAACGAGACCCUCAUCCCUAUUUGCUAAGGUCAGUCCGCUGAUCACAGGACUAUAGGGAGACCGCUGGCGCGAAGUCAGAGGAAGGCGAGGGCAACGGUAGGUCAGUAUGCUCCGAAUGCACUGGGCUACACGCGCAAUACAAAGGACGGGACAAUGGGCCGCUGCGCCGAGAGGCAUGUGGCAAUCUCGAAACCCGUUCGUAGUUCGGAUUGAGGGCUGUAACUCGCCCUCAUGAAGCUGGAUUAGGUAGUAAUCGCGUCUCAAUAAGGCGCGGUGAAUAUGCCCCUGCUCCUUGCACACACCGCCC